rnacentral:rRNA from 1 species
GAUGAACGCUGGCGGCGUGCCUAAUACAUGCAAGUCGAGCGAACGGACGAGAAGCUUGCUUCUCUGAUGUUAGCGGCGGACGGGUGAGUAACACGUGGAUAACCUACCUAUAAGACUGGGAUAACUUCGGGAAACCGGAGCUAAUACCGGAUAAUAUUUUGAACCGCAUGGUUCAAAAGUAAAAGACGGUCUUGCUGUCACUUAUAGAUGGAUCCGCGCUGCAUUAGCUAGUUGGUAAGGUAACGGCUUACCAAGGCAACGAUGCAUAGCCGACCUGAGAGGGUGAUCGGCCACACUGGACCUGAGACACGGUCCAGCCUCCUACGGGAGGCAGCAGUAGGGAAUCUUCCGCAAUGGGCGAAAGCCUGACGGAGCAACGCCGCGUGAGUGAUGAAGGUCUUCGGAUCGUAAAACUCUGUUAUUAGGGAAGAACAUAUGUGUAAGUAACUGUGCACAUCUUGACGGUACCUAAGCAGAAAGCCACGGCUAACUACGU